rnacentral:rRNA from 1 species
UACAGAGACUGCAAGCGUUAUUCGGAUUCACUGGGCGUAAAGGGUGCGCAGGCGGUCGUGUGUGUCAGAUGUGAAAUCCCGGAGCUUAACUCCGGAACUGCGUCUGAAACUACACGACUAGAGCAUUGGAGAGGGAAGUGGAAUUCAUGGUGUAGCAGUGAAAUGCGUAGAUAUCAUGAGGAACACCAGAGGCGAAGGCGACUUCCUGGACAAUAGCUGACGCUCAGGCACGAAAGCAUGGGGAGCAAAAGGG